rnacentral:rRNA from 1 species
GGAAACCAACAGGGAUUGCCUCAGUAACGGCGAGUGAAGCGGCAACAGCUCAAAUUUGAAAUCUGGCGCCUUCGGCGUCCGAGUUGUAAUUUGUAGAGGAUGUUUCGGCGAGGGCUCCCGUCUAAGUCCCUUGGAACAGGGCGUCGCAGAGGGUGAGAAUCCCGUAUGUGAUGGGUUGCUCGAGCCAUGUGAAACUCCUUCGACGAGUCGAGUUGUUUGGGAAUGCAGCUCUAAAUGGGAGGUAAAUUUCUUCUAAAGCUAAAUACCGGCCAGAGACCGAUAGCGCACAAGUAGAGUGAUCGAAAGAUGAAAAGCACUUUGGAAAGAGAGUUAAAAAGUACGUGAAAUUGUUGAAAGGGAAGCGCUUGCAACCAGACUCGCGCGCAGUUGCUCAGCCGGUCUCCUGACCGGUGUACUCUUCUGCGUCCGGGCCAGCAUCAGUUCGGGCGGUCGGAUAAAGGCCUCGGGAAUGUGGCUCCCCUCGGGGAGUGUUAUAGCCCGGGGUGCAAUGCGGCCAGCCUGGACUGAGGAACUCGCUUCGGCUAGGAUGCUGGCGUAAUGGUUGUAAGCGGCCCGUCUUGAAACACGGACCAAGGAGUCUAACAUCUAUGCGAGUGUUUGGGUGUCAAACCCAUGCGCGUAAUGAAAGUGAACGGAGGUGGGAACCCUCACGGGUGCACCAUCGACCGAUCCUGAUGUCUUCGGAUGGAUUUGAGUAAGAGCAUAGCUGUUGGGACCCGAAAGAUGGUGAACUAUGCCUGAAUAGGGUGAAGCCAGAGGAAACUCUGGUGGAGGCUCGCAGCGGUUCUGACGUGCAAAUCGAUCGUCAAAUUUGGGUAUAGGGGCGAAAGACUAAUCGAACCAUCUAGUAGCUGGUUCCUGCCG